UGAAUUCAAAAGAAUGUAAUUUACACUGAUCAUCCCAUACAUUUCAUACUCAACACGACUAAUCCAGAUUAGUAUAAAUGUAGAACUAUUGGUAGUCUAUGCACUUAUAUAGUUCUGCUGACACUCUCCAACACCAUACAAGGUUAGUCCAUAUUCAAUGUAUAUGGCAAAGCUCUAAGCCCAUAGACAACCUCCCGCUACUCUCACCACAUGUAUCAUUC
rnacentral:lncRNA from 1 species